rnacentral:rRNA from 1 species
GCUUGCUCCCUGAGAUUAGCGGCGGACGGGUGAGUAACACGUGGGCAACCUGCCUAUAAGACUGGGAUAACUUCGGGAAACCGGAGCUAAUACCGGAUACGUUCUUUUCUCGCAUGAGAGAAGAUGGAAAGACGGUUUACGCUGUCACUUAUAGAUGGGCCCGCGGCGCAUUAGCUAGUUGGUGAGGUAAUGGCUCACCAAGGCGACGAUGCGUAGCCRACCUGAGAGGGUGAUCGGCCACACUGGGACUGAGACACGGCCCARACUCCUACGGGAGGCAGCAGUAGGGAAUCUUCCGCAAUGGACGAAAGUCUGACGGAGCAACGCCGCGUGAACGAAGAAGGCCUUCGGGUCGUAAAGUUCUGUUGUUAGGGAAGAACAAGUACCAGAGUAACUGCUGGUACCUUGACGGUACCUAACCAGAAAGCCACGGCUAACUACGUGCCAGCAGCCGCGGUAAUACGUAGGUGGCAAGCGUUGUCCGGAAUUAUUGGGCGUAAAGCGCGCGCAGGUGGUUCCUUAAGUCUGAUGUGAAAGCCCACGGCUCAACCGUGGAGGGUCAUUGGAAACUGGGGAACUUGAGUGCAGAAGAGGAAAGUGGAAUUCCAAGUGUAGCGGUGAAAUGCGUAGAGAUUUGGAGGAACACCAGUGGCGAAGGCGACUUUCUGGUCUGUAACUGACACUGAGGCGCGAAAGCGUGGGGAGCAAACAGGAUUAGAUACCCUGGUAGUCCACGCCGUAAACGAUGAGUGCUAAGUGUUAGAGGGUUUCCGCCCUUUAGUGCUGCAGCUAACGCAUUAAGCACUCCGCCUGGGGAGUACGGCCGCAAGGCUGAAACUCAAAGGAAUUGACGGGGGCCCGCACAAGCGGUGGAGCAUGUGGUUUAAUUC